AUUGAACGCUGGCGGCAUGCCUUACACAUGCAAGUCGAACGGUAACGCGGGGCAACCUGGCGACGAGUGGCGAACGGGUGAGUAACGCAUCGGAACGUGCCCAGUAGUGGGGGAUAGCCCGGCGAAAGCCGGAUUAAUACCGCAUACGACCUACGGGUGAAAGAGGGGGAUCGCAAGACCUCUCGCUAUUGGAGCGGCCGAUGUCAGAUUAGGUAGUUGGUGGGGUAAAGGCCUACCAAGCCUACGAUCUGUAGCUGGUCUGAGAGGACGACCAGCCACGCUGGGACUGAGAAACGGCACAGACUCCUACGGGAGGCAGCAGUGGGGAAUUGUGGACAAUGGGCGCAAGCCUGAUCCAGCCAUGCCGCGUGCGGGAAGAAGGCCUUCGGGUUGUAAACCGCUUUUGUCAGGGAAGAAACGCUCUGGACUAAUACUCUGGGGUAAUGACGGUACCUGAAGAAUAAGCACCGGCUAACUACGUGCCAGCCGCCGCAGUAA
rnacentral:rRNA from 1 species